GUUGGAUUAAGAACUCAGAUUCUGUUGAGGUUCCAGCUUUGGAAUUCAAUCUUACACUUUUGCUUGAGGUAACAAAACAUUCACAGUAACCUCAUUCUUCUGUAAUGUUCUGAUGAUGACUAAAGAAAAAAUCAUUCCAGUGAGCCAACAUUAGGUAUCCCAUCCUCUGGCACAAAUAAUCAGGAAAGAGGUAUUUAAAUAGAGCAGAACCACAUUAGUUUGAAAUUCGACGACCUGAAACCAGGCAGUCAGAGAUGGAAUCAGAGAAUGUGAGAAUCGGAAGCUUUAACCAAUCUUGAGUAAGAACUCCCUGACUUGGAAACACUCAAGUAUCCCACACGUGACUGGAUGGCCCUCGCCACACUGGGAACGGAAUGGGGGCCUCCCAUUGGAACUCGGGGUGGAGGCGGAAGCUCCACCAGCUAUUGUGCCUCCUACUUCCAUUGACAAAAUAAGUGUUGCAGACGUGGAAAGAAAACCUGCAGAUUCCAUUGAUCUGGCAUGGAGCUGGAUGUUUUUCAGGAAGAAGAGUUUUCAUUAAAACACAACCAUAACAAAGCAAGAAAAAAGAGCAUUUGAUGUAAGCAUGCCAGUCAGGUCCACAUGUCAAGAAACAGAAUAAAAAGAAAUAAAAAUAGACAAACAAUUGUAAAUUAUACCAAGACCCUGCAUAAAUAUGACUUGUUAUUAUGCAUAAUACAAUACAUGGCAUUUUAGUCUUGGAACCUGUCCAGUGUGGUUUAUUAUUGGAAGAAUUGGGUGAAUCUUGUUAAAAAACAGCUUCACCUAAAAUUUGAUCCCUAGAUAUGAACCCAGGGGACAAUGUUAGAGGGAGUUUCCAAAUAUGGUUUUAAGUAAGGAGUUGUGGAGUUCUCAUUUUAUCCUCUUCAAAACUUCU
rnacentral:lncRNA from 1 species